rnacentral:rRNA from 1 species
GACGGACGCUGGCGGCGCGCCUAACACAUGCAAGUCGAACGGUGAAGAGGAGCUUGCUCCUCGGAACAGUGGCGGACGGGUGAGUAACACGUGAGCAACCUGGCUCUAAGAGGGGGACAACAGUUGGAAACGACUGCUAAUACCGCAUGACGUAUCGGGAUGGCAUCUUCCUGAUACCAAAGAUUUUAUCGCUUAGAGAUGGGCUCGCGUCUGAUUAGAUAGUUGGCGGGGUAACGGCCCACCAAGUCGACGAUCAGUAGCCGGACUGAGAGGUUGAACGGCCACAUUGGGACUGAGACACGGCCCAGACUCCUACGGGAGGCAGCAGUGGGGGAUAUUGGACAAUGGGGGCAACCCUGAUCCAGCGACGCCGCGUGAGGGAAGAAGGUUUUCGGAUUGUAAACCUCUGUUGACGGAGAAAAAAAUGAUGGUAUCCGUUUAGAAAGCCACGGCUAACUACGUG